rnacentral:rRNA from 1 species
CAGUAGCCACGGUAAUACGUAGGUCCCGAGCGUUGUCCGGAUUUAUUGGGCGUAAAGGGAGCGCAGGCGGCUUAGUAAGUCUGAAGUUAAAGGCAUUGGCUCAACCAAUGUAUGCUUUGGAAACUGUUAGACUUGAGUGCAGAAGGGGAGAGUGGAAUUCCAUGUGUAGCGGUGAAAUGCGUAGAUAUAUGGAGGAACACCGGUGGCGAAAGCGGCUCUCUGGUCUGUCACUGACGCUGAGGCUCGAGAGCGUGGGUAGCGAACAGGAUUAGAUACCCCAGUAGUCCCUGUCUCUUAUACA